rnacentral:rRNA from 1 species
GACGGAGGAUGCAAGUGUUAUCCGGAAUCACUGGGCGUAAAGCGUCUGUAGGUGGUUUAAUAAGUCAACUGUCAAAUCUUGAGGCUCAACCUCAAAAUCGCAGUCGAAACUAUUAGGCUAGAGUAUAGUAGGGGUAAAGGGAAUUUCCAGUGGAGCGGUGAAAUGCGUAGAGAUUGGAAAGAACACCGAUGGCGAAGGCACUUUACUGGGCUAUUACUAACACUCAGAGACGAAAGCUAGGGUAGCAAAUGGG